rnacentral:rRNA from 1 species
UUGGAGGGCAAGUCUGGUGCCAGCAGCCGCGGUAAUUCCAGCUCCAAUAGCGUAUAUUAAAGUUGUUGCAGUUAAAAAGCUCGUAGUUGAAUUUCGGGAUCAAUGUUUCGGUCAUGCCGUUGGUUUGUACUGAUAUUAUUGAUUUCUCACCUUCUAAAGAACCGUAAUGCCAUUAAUUUGGUGUCACGGGGAAUUAGGACUGUUACCUUGAAAAAAUUAGAGUGUUUAAAGCAGGCUCACGCUUGAAUACAUUAGCAUGGAAUAAUGAAAUAGGACAUCCGAUUCUAUUUUGUUGGUUUCUAGGAUCGAUGUAAUGAUUAAUAGGGAUAGUUGGGGGCAUUAGUAUUCAAUUGUCAGAGGUGAAAUUCUUGGAUUUAUUGAAGACUAACUACUGCGAAAGCACUUGCCAAGGAUGUUUUCAUUAAUCAAGAACGAAAGUUAGGGGAUCGAAGACGAUCAGAUACCGUCGUAGUCUUAACCAUAAACUAUGCCGACUAGGGAUCGGAUGAUGUUAAUUUUUUAAUGACUCAUUCGGCGCCUUACGGGAAACCAAAGUGUUUGGGUUC